CUGGUGCUGGGGAAAGGUGGCACAACUGUAGAGACAGAAGAGUAUUUUGGGGGCCUGGCAGGGGGCAGAGUGUUCACGGUGGUCCAGAAGGUGCAGCCGCAUCAGGGCAGGAGGCUGGGAACCGCUUUCUCUCGCCCAUAAACCUGCCAAGGAGAUCUGGAAGGCCUGCGGAACGUCCUACCUGUACCAGGUGGGCCGGCGGGACUGCAUUUGCUACCGGACCAAGAAGGCAAAUCUCCCUGGUAGGUGCUCCCUUUCCUAGUGUCUGCACAGCUGCAAGCUAAGGAAGCUCUUCGCUGGGUCCUGCAGCAUACAGGCCGCGGGUGAGGUGCAGUCGCCUCCUGUCACAGGCAGCAGGGCUUCCGUGCCACAGAGGGAGGGCAGCCCCUCCAAGGCAGGGCCUCACCCCUCAUCCAGACCUGUCUGAACAUUCUGCAA
rnacentral:lncRNA from 1 species